rnacentral:rRNA from 1 species
CAAAUGCUGAGAUGACUAACUAGGAUUCCCUCAGUAGCUGCGAGCGAACAGGGAAGAGCCCAGCACCGAAUCCCGCGGCCGAUAGCGGACGCCGGGAAAUGUGGUGUUAGGGAGGAUCCGUUUAUCCCGAGGUCGUGCGGUGCGUCCAAGUCCUUCUUGAACGGGGCCACAGCCCAUAGAGGGUGCCAGGCCCGUAGCGACCGCUGCCGAUCGCGGGAGGAUCUCUCCUCAGAGUCGGGUUGCUUGAGAGUGCAGCCCUAAGCGGGUGGUAAACUCCAUCUAAGGCUAAAUAUGACCACGAGACCGAUAGCGAACAAGUACCGUGAGGGAAAGUUGAAAAGCACUUUGAAGAGAGAGUUCAAGAGUACGUGAAACCGUUCAGGGGUAAACCUGAGAAGCCCGAAAGGUCGAAAGGGGAAAUUCAUUCGCGUUUCGGCCGUCGGCGUGGGACGGUCGAGUGACGGACGUCGCACGCGGCGUCCGCGCCUUUCGUCUUUCGAACCGGCGUCGAACGCGUGCACUUUUCCCCUAGUAGGACGUCGCGAUCCGUUGGGUGUCGGUCUACGACCCGCGGUGGAGCCCGUGCGGACGCCUCCCGGCGUAUCGCUCGGACCCGCGGUGUUCCGGCCGACCCGCUCGACGGUAUACAGAUGGCGCGGGGCCGCUACACAAACAGUUAGCGUUCGGCCCGCGGCAAGCGCGUUCGGCGUUUGACGGCGAUCGGACCCGGUGCCGGUCCUGUCCCCGAACGACUGUUGGCCGCGGUGCUCUCGAACAGACCUCGUCUCGAAACGCCGAUCUGCGACGCUAUAGCUUUGGGUACUUUCAGGACCCGUCUUGAACACA